rnacentral:misc_RNA from 1 species
AAUUGAAGAAUUAUUUUGAUAAUUAAUUUUAACUGAUCAAUACAAGUUUUGUCUAAUCUUUUCCUCCUUCCCCCAACUAUAUUUAGCAUCAACUCCCCCACCUUAGUGUAUUUAGCAUUUCUUUUCUUAAUUCACUACACACUUAUCAAGCAAGGACGGAUCCAGACGGAUAGCGAGGGGGUCAUCUGAACUUUCUAAAUACUAAAAAAUUACAGGGUUGGUUGAUUUUGAAUCGUCUAAUGUUGACUUAGCUUAAUGAUUGACGUGUUCAAAAUUCAACUUGAGGUUCCAAGUCUCAAGCAAUACAUUAUUAUUUUUCAAACUCUUACUAAAAAUCUUGAAUCCACCGUUACAAUCAAAU